GGAGCUAUGGUGAAUGUGGCUGCACAUGGAGAAAAACGCUUACUUACCCGGUGCUUUGAUGUGUGAAAAACCCCUUUAGAAGGUUCCCUUCCAAGUAUGGACUGGAGGAGGACUGUUAUCUUGCUAGACUGCCCAGUAUUGCUAUGGGGGGCAACAUGGUAGAUCUAGACUGCUGCUCCAGCCCCACCUGCAGGUCGGAACUGUUGUGGAAUGCUAAGGGCCGUGCGUUGCUGCAGGAGGUCAGCAAGGAGGUGAAGAGAGAGAUGAGGCUGGAGCAACGUUGGGUCACAAGCCAACAGGAAAAAGAGAAAAUGAAACGGGAGAGACAACAGAGGAGACGUCUCAAAGGCGGGAAGAAAGAUUCUCCAACCAAGACAGAUUCACAAGACAACUCAGCGAGCAUGGACAACAUCCUGAUAUCGGUAUCCAAUCCUGACAACAACCAAUGUGAGACUUUCCUACUGAUGUUUGCUUUGAACAGACAGCCAAGUCCUGAAGCAUGGGGCGAUACAUAAGCUCUUUGUAAAGGAAUUUAGCCAGUAAGAGAAGCUUUGAUGUUUAGUCUUUGUUUUUAUCCCUCCUCAGUCGACCCCUCUGAUCAUCACUCCUUACCUUCUCCAGUAGAACAGAAAUGUGACGUAACGAGAAAACUCUCGGCUCUGUGUCACAACAUGGUCGAAGCAGUGAAUCAGAAGUCCAUCAUCUCUGCCCACAACCUCUGUAAGUAGAAGGCUAAUUGUGCGUCGCCCCACGGACC